rnacentral:hammerhead_ribozyme from 1 species
AUUCAGUUGACGAGUCACAAAUAGGACGAAACAUACAUCUUGAAU